rnacentral:rRNA from 1 species
CAAGACCUUGCGCUCUUGGAGCGGCCGAUGUCUGAUUAGCUAGUUGGUGAGGUAAAGGCUUACCAAGGCGACGAUCAGUAGCUGGUCUGAGAGGACGACCAGCCACACUGGGACUGAGACACGGCCCAGACUCCUACGGGAGGCAGCAGUGGGGAAUUUUGGACAAUGGGGGAAAUUCUGAUCUAGCCAUGUCGCGUGAGUGAAGAAGGCCUUCGGGUUGUAAAGCUCUUUGAGUUGGAAUGAAAUGGUCAUGGUUAAUAUCUGUGACUACUGACGGUACCGGAAGAAGAAGCACCGGCUAACUACGUGCCAGCAGCCGCGGUAAUACGUAGGGUGCAAGCGUUAAUCGGAAUUACUGGGCGUAAAGCGUGCGCAGGCGGUUUUGUAAGUCAGAUGUGAAAUCCCCGGGCUUAACCUGGGAACU